CUUAGAUAACUGGACGUUUUCAGAAAUUACAGUUAUCAGACGUGUGUUUUAUCUAUAAAAAGAUAUAAGUAUUAAUAUAUAAAUAAAACUCUUUGCCAUAACAACGAUUUUCUCAAUAAUCUUCUGAAUAUUUUUGUUAUUGAUAACAAUAGAUGGGUAUAUGCACGAGUUUCGGAUGUUGUGGUGAUGAUGACAACCCUACAAUUGCUAAUUUCGAUAGAGGAGGAGGAGCUAUGUUUGCCGACAAUAACCCUGGAGCAGGAGGAGAAGUUAUGUUUGCCAAUAAUAACCCCGGGACAGGAGAUGUGUCGUUCGCCGAUAAUAAUCCCGGGGGAGGAGGAGUAAUAUUCGCGGAUGAUAAUCCCGGAGGAGUAAAUUUUGCCGAUAAUGAUACUAGCGGAGGAGGAGUAGUGACAUUUGCAAAUUAAAUUUUUCUUCAAUAAAAAAAAAUAUAUUAAUGAAAACAUACUUCGAAUUAGGAAGUCCUUACAAUUGCCAUGGUAACAUAAAACUGCGAUGCACAGCUUAAAUUUAGAUAAUGUGCUCAUUUAGUAAGCACAUAUAUUUCUGAAAAACGAAAAAACACGAUAGGAUGUAUCCUAUUACCGAUUAAAAUGAUGAAAAAGAUGAAUACGUGACAAAGCGAUAAAAUGUGAAAAGUCUGGCGCACUGAAUUGCACCGUAGUAACUCGCAUAAAAUUUCAUCUGGGUUGCAAAUUCAAAUACCGUUGAUCGCAGAACUGAAGAUUGGCUCUGAUAACUAUGAUUUUCCAAUAUUGUGUUCAAUAUUUUAUGAAAGGUUUAGUUUUUUAAGGUUCUGGACUGCAAAUUUUUAAUUAUUCAUAAUGUUUAUUAUAUUAAUUGAUAGUAAUAAGAUUAUACUCUGAUUAAAGUAAUGAUGAGCUC